rnacentral:rRNA from 1 species
UGCCAGCCGCCGCGGUAAUACGGGGGGUGCAAGCGUUACUCGGAAUCACUGGGCGUAAAGGGAGCGUAGGCGUUCUAUUAAGUCUUGAGUGAAAGCCCGCAGCCUAACUGCGGAACUGCUCAGGAAACUGAUAGAAUUGAGUAUGGAAGAGGUCAGUGGAAUUUCCAGUGUAGGGGUAAAAUCCGUAGAUAUUGGAAGGAAUACCAGAAGCGAAGGCGACUGACUGGGACAUUACUGACGCUGAGGCUCGAAAGCGUGGGGAGCAAACAGGAUUAGAUACCCUGGUAGUCCACGCCCUAAACGAUGAACACUAGUCGUUACGGAGCUAGUCUCUGUAGUGACGCAGCUAACGCAUUAAGUGUUCCGCCUGGGGAGUACGGUCGCAAGAUUAAAACUCAAAGGAAUUGACGG